rnacentral:tRNA from 1 species
GCCUUCAUAGUUAAAUGGAUAUAACGGAUCCCUCCUAAGGAUCAGUUACAGGUUCGAUUCCUGUUGAGGGUGCCA